CUUGACCGAGCCGAGCCAGAGCGGCUCAGUGCGCUGCUGGCCAUACGUCGCGAGCAGCGCCUGCGCCUC
rnacentral:antisense_RNA from 1 species